AAUUUUCCAACGUCUAACACACAUCGUUUAGGGCAUGGACUACGAGGGUAUCUAAUCCUCUUCGCUACCCAUGCUUUCGUUCCUCAGUGUCAGUAAUGAUCCAGAAAGCUGCCUUCGCAAUGGGUAUUCUUUCUAAUAUCUACGAAUUUCACCUCUACACUAGAAAUUCUGCUUUCCUCUAUCAUACUCUAGCUGAAAAGUUUUGAUGGCAGUUCCAGAGUUAAGCUCUGGGAUUUCACCACCAACUUUUUCAACCACCUACGAACUCUUUAAGCCCAGUAAUUCCGAACUACGCUAGGUCCCUUCGUAUUACCGCGGCUGCUGGCACGAAGUUAGCCGGACCUUCUUAUUCGGGUACAGUCAUUUUCUUCCCCGACGAAAGAGCUUUACAACCCAAAGGCCUUCUUCACUCACGCGGCAUCGCUGCAUCAGAGUUUCCUCCAUUGUGCAAGAUUCCCCACUGCUGCCUCCCGUAGGAGUUUGGGCCGUGUCUCAGUCCCAAUGUGGCUGAUCAUCCUCUCAAAUCAGCUAUUGAUCAUAGUCUUGGUAGGCCAUUACCCUACCAACAAACUAAUCAAGUGCGGGCUCCUCCAAUGGUGCAUAAAGCUUUCUCCGUAAAGACUUAUCCGGUAUUAGCACAAGUUUCCUCGUGUUAUUCCAGGCCAAAGGGUAGAUACCCACAUGUUACUCACCCGUCUGCCACUAAGUAUUGCUACUUCGUUCGACUUGCAUGUGUUAGGCGUGCCGCCAGCGUACGUUCUGAGCCAGGAUCAAACUCU
rnacentral:rRNA from 1 species